rnacentral:rRNA from 1 species
GAUGAACGCUGGCGGCGUGCCUAAUACAUGCAAGUCGAGCGAACGGACGAGAAGCUUGCUUCUCUGAUGUUAGCGGCGGACGGGUGAGUAACGCGUGGAUACCCUACCUAUAAGACUGGGAUAACUUCGGAAAACCGGAGCUAAUACCGGAUAAUAUUUUGAACCGCAUGGUUCAAAGGUGAAAGACGGUCUUGCUGUCACUUAUCGAUGGAUCCGCGCUGCAUUAGCUAGUUGGUAAGGUAACGGCUUACCAAGGCAACGAUGCAUAGCCGACCUGAGAGGGUGAUCGGCGACACUGGAACUGAGACACGGUCCAGACUCCUACGGGAGGCAGCAGUAGGGAAUCUUACGCAAUGGGCGAAAGCCUGACGGAGCAACGCCGCGUGAGUGAUGAAGGUCUUCGGAUCGUAAAACUCUGUUAUUAGGGAAGAACAUAUGUGUAAGGAACUGUGCACAUCGUGACGGUACCUAAUCAGAAAGCCACGGCUAACUACGUG